UGUGAGUUGAGGAGCUCUGUCCCCACAAGUCCUUUCUGUCCCACAGGUCUGGGUGGGAACAGGGACUCAGGUGGAGGAUGCCCAGGGUAGAGUCAGCUGCUAGCGGUUGGUGGGGGUGGGGUGCUGACAUUUGGCCCAGAGGAGGGGGAGUGGGAGGGGGAGGAGGUGUCCUGAUGAACCCCCAGCACGGAGCAUGGCCACCCCGCUGCCCAGGCUUAGUCCUGGUCCUGUCCCUCAAGCCCUGUGUGACUUCCGGCCAAUCAUUUCCCACGGCACAGACGAAUCUGAUCUUCUCCUGGGGGAGGGUUUACAAGGACCAAAAAUGCUCUGCACAAGCACAAGACAAACAGUUAAUAUCUUCAACCUACUGAGAACUUUCUAAACUAGUAAGAAAAAGAUGAGCCCGCUUAGAAAGUUGGGGAAAGGACCCCCAACAGGAGACGCAACAAGAGCAACGAACGCAAGCCGCCAAUCCACACGAACGCUGUCCCUUCCAAGUCGUCAAAGACGCACAAAACAAACUGGAAAAAAAUUAAAAAGUCUGUGACGGUCCCCGUGUCGGCAAAGGAGCGGGACGCUGCCAGGCAGGGUGUGUGGGUACAACCUUUCUGGAGAACAGUUUGGCAGUAAAUACCCCCAGUCCUUGACUCAGCAAAUCCACUUCUAGGAAACCAUCCUCAGCCAACAGAGAUCUACACGAGUGUUCAGCUUCAAAGAUGCUACUGCAGCAGCGUUUACAACAAGUGGAAGCAACCUGCGUCUCCAGCAGUGAGGGAUUCCUCUGUCCACACCACGGAAUCUUGUAAACAAUAAUACGUUAUGGCCCGGAUGGAAAUGCACUCACGUGUGACAGAUCCCAACUGGGUUAUCAAAAGUACAUAAUCCAGUAUCUCCUGAAGAAAAACCAGUCUCUGCGGUAUGUAGGUCCUGUGGGGAAAAAGGUCAAAUAAAUGCCUUGAGAGAAUAUCACAAACUAUAACCUCCAAG
rnacentral:lncRNA from 1 species